CAUGAGUUGUAUUGGACCCGUGUCUGCCGGCAGGACCCCCGGCCUGAUGUGCGGCCGACUGUCGGCGCCUUGUCCCAUCAAUCGUGCGGCCGUGACACGCCGCGCCGUUGACUAGUGCUUGCGUGCUGCUACCCGUCCCACGGGAAGUGGUGCCUCACACACGGUUGCCUCACCGUGGACGCCCCCAGGGCGUGCCGCGGUGGCCGCAUAGCGCUCGCGGCGUUGCCUCGCGGUGCCGGCCACCCACGUGCCCGGCGCCGCUAAGGCCACUCGCCCGCGCUCUUGGUCCCGGAUGCWGCCCACGCUACAGGCUCGCGGCCCAUCGGCGUCGCGUCCCUACCGAAAGCUCUCUCAACAGACGACAGCCGGUCCGGUCGUCGCCGSCYGCGUGCCACMCCCUKCCGGCSCKCSCGGCUCCKCURCCCMSAUCCAAACGNCGCMSAGCU
rnacentral:misc_RNA from 1 species